GAGGGAGUCCGUCUGUCUGUCUGGGAAGCACUAUACUAUUUCUGAAAGAAGGAAGGAAGUUGUAGUGAAAUUUAAAUUAAAUGGAGAAUGAUACUUCUACGGAGAAGAAGAAGAAGAAGAACUCACACGGCGGCGACGGCGAGCUGGAGUCGGAGGAUGACUUGAAGUCAAUUCUGCCGUAUUUACCCCUUCAUCUCUGUUCCUCCUCUCUCUUCUGGCCCCCGCCUGUCGUUGAAGCUCUCAAAGCCCUCUCCCUGGGUCCCCAUCACAGCAACGUCCGCUCCGGUCAACUCCUCUCCCUUGCCAUCUCCGACCUCCGCAGCUCCCUCAACUAUUCCUCCACCUCCCUUUCUUCCUCCGCUCUCCACGGCUACUCCCUCUUCUUCGACGACUUGAUGCCUAGGGCUGAUUCGGUGAAGUGGUUUGAGGAGGUUUUGCCCAAGAUGGCUCUUUUGCUCUUGAAUUUGCCCUCCCUUUUGGAGACCCAUUAUCGGCGCCACCAGCAGCAGCAGCAGCCCCUUGAUAGUAAUACAACUUGCCUCCGCUUGUUGGACUCCCAGCAGCCUGGCCUUGUGCUUCUCUCUCAAGAGUUGAUUGCUGCUCUGCUUUCUUGCGCUUUCUUUUCUUUAUUUCCUGCUGCCAAUAGAGGUCUCUAUAUGGGUGUUAUGAGGAGUACCAGGAAAGCAAAAUAAAGUGCAUUGUUCACUAUUUUGAGAGGGUAUGCUUAUGCAUGCCUACGGGCAAUGUCUCAUUUGAGCGCAAAGUUCUUCCUUUGGAUCGGAGAGCUGUUGGCGUUUCUUAUCCAAAGCCUGAUUUCUGGAUCAAAUCUGAUCUGCCUCUGUGCCCUUUUGAGGUCCAAAGAUCUGGUUUAAUUGAAGAUCAGGUACAUGAAGCUUUGGAAGUGGACUUUGCAAACCAGUAUUUAGGUGGUGGUGCUCUCCAUCAUGGCUGUGUACAGGAAGAGAUCCGUUUUAUGAUCAACCCUGAGUUGGUGGCUGGCAUGCUAUUCUUGCCUUCAAUGGCAGACAAUGAAGCUAUAGAAGUCGUUGGUACAGAAAGGUUUUCCAAUUAUACAGGGUAUGCUUCUUCAUUCCGGUUUUCUGGUGACUAUGUGGACCAGAAGGAUACUGAUUCUUUCGGGAGGCGGAAGACAAGAAUUAUUGCUAUAGAUGCACUUUGUAGUCCUGGGAGGAGACAGUAUGGAUCUGAAUGCCUCCAGAGAAGUUUGUUGCUGCUGGCCUCUCUAUGUUUUGGGAUUUAACAGAUAGCAUUCUGGCAUGCUAAUCUACAUCAGUCUGAAGUAUUUCCACCAUCCAAAGAACCCAACUGCCAUACAUGUUAGCAGGGAGAUUAACAAGGCAUUCUGUGGCUUUUUUGAUAUGUCUAAGUAUCAGCAGUAUCAAGACUUGUUCCAAUAUGAUGAACACUGGGAAUCUGAUGUUGAUUUUGACGUAAAGAAAUUGAGAGAACAAUUGAGAAAUGAUGCUAUGACUCUUGGAGGUCCCUCAACUUCAUAUCAAAUAACUGAAGGAGCACCAGAAAAUCAGCUGAAUCAGUGCCUUCAUACAAAGGCAUUUCAGCCUUCGCAGCAUCAAGAGGAAAUUGGGAUUGUCACAGGGAAUUGGGGUUGCGGUGCUUUUGGUGGGGAUCCUCAACUUAAAGCUAUUAUUCAGUGGCUUGCUGCUUCUCAGGCUUUAAGACCUUUCAUCUUGUACCACACAUUUGGUUUGGAGACAUUGGAGGUGCUAGACCAGGUGACUCGCUGGAUUAUAUCCCAUGAGUGGACUGUUGGAGAACUUUGGAAUAUGAUGGGUGAGUACGGAUCCAAGAGAUUAAAAGGUGAAACCAGAGUUGGCUUUUUCAGUUGGCUCCUUCCCUUGGUAGAUUCCAAUGAUGCAUGAGCUGUUGGGCAUCAGCUCAAUCUUCAUGAGAUUUAGUGAACAUUGACCAAAAUUUCUUCUUUGUUGGGCACUUUCUUGGCUUGGUGCGGCUCAUAUUUGAUUCACCCUGGAAGACUAGCAUAGUGUAAAUGCUUUCCUUUACGACCGUUAGUUGUGCUGUGGAAAUAUAGAAUACUUGGCAUAAUUUUGUCCCUAUAGGGUGCGCGGUCUGUGUAUCUGAGGGACAUUUUAUUGUUCGUUAGUUACAAAAUGAGAUUCUGUACAGUGAACGAGCAGAAGUGCAUCUGGAGUUGCUCUGCACCAAUGGUUGAUUUUGUCUGACCCAAGAUGACAGGAUGUUCUGUUGGGGGGAGGGGGUUGCAUGCAUGGAGAUGGAGGUUAUUUCCUGUCUACUGCCUACUGCCUACUGCCCCGGAUUUGAAACUGCUGUGGAAGCAUAUGUGAUCAAACACUGGCUUGCAACAGCAACUCUGCUGCUAUCAGAAGUUGUUGGUUAGAAGGCUUUGUCUAUAACCAACCUAGUUAUGAGGAUCUAAACCGCAUUCAUGUUUUCCUUCUUUUCUUGUUAGUGAACGGAGGCUCGUAGAAUUCGCUGAAAGAUAGGAUCAGCUGUUUGGUACGACUCCUUUUGUACCUAUAAUUAAGUCUAUACACGUUAGGAUGAGGUUCAAAAGUUACCAUUCAUACAAGGACCAUUAAUUUGUCAUAUCUUUUACUUCCACAAAAUAAAAUAGGGGAAAAAAUUUCUUAUUACU